AUUGAACGCUGGCGGCAGGCCUAACACAUGCAAGUCGAACGAGUGGCGGACGGGUGAGUAAUGUCUGGGAAACUGCCCGAUGGAGGGGGAUAACUACUGGAAACGGUAGCUAAUACCGCAUACCAUCGGAUGUGCCCAGAUGGGAUUAGCUUGUAGGUUAGGUAACGGCGCACCUAGGCGACGAUCCCUAGCUGGUCUGAGAGGAUGACCAGCCCCACUGGAACUGGGACACGGUCCAGACUCCUGCGGGGUACAGCAGUGGGGAAUAUUGCACAAUGGGCGCAAUCCUGAUGCAGCCAUGCCGCGUGUAUGAAGAAGGCCUUCGGGUUAUAAAGUACUUUCAGCUGGGAGGCGUUACCCGCAGAAGAAGCACCGGCUAACUCCGUGCCAGCAGCCGCGGUAAUAC
rnacentral:rRNA from 1 species